GCUUUUGCGCAGUGCCGAUAUCGUAACCGAUGAGGUUCAACCAAGUUGCGAUUGUUGCUAGUUGAAAACUAAGCACUUAUUUGUGAUUAUGUGAACCUUGUGAUUAAUUUUCAAUGCGAAUGGCAUUUC
rnacentral:snRNA from 1 species